rnacentral:lncRNA from 1 species
AAACCCUUCGCAUUGUAGCAUUUUAAUUUCCCGCAGAAACCCAAAACUGUCUCGGGAAAACUACGAUCCCAGUUUAGUUAGCCGUUGGAUUUUGAUGAAAUUUGGACAUGUUGUUCGAAAUUCAAUUCCGCACGCUUCCACCGUUGGGAUUUGCGAGAUAAUAUUCGUGGAGGGAGAAAAAGGAAUCGCAUGAAGACAGUACAAG